CCCUUCUCCCUUUUUCUUCCUUUCAAAACCCAUUUCUACAUGCGCAUCUCCUUCCUCCGUCUCUCUCCAAACCCAUUUCCACACCUCCUCUAUUUUUCUCUUCUCUUCUUCUUUCUCUCUGGCCAUCGUCCUUGUCUCCUCUGAAACCCCCCCACUUGUGGGUUCCAUCUUUUGGUCACCUUCUUUGAAUGAAGGCCAUACGUGCCUUCUUCCUCUUGUCUGUUGUCCUCUUGAGGCUAUGAUGUUGCUAUUGUAAAAGAAAAAAAAUUCUUUAUUAAUGGGGAUUAGAGAAGAAAGGAGAGGAAGAGUAGAACAUCAUGUUGCAAAAGAAAUUCUUUCCUCUCUCUCGUUGACAAAAUACAUUUCUUCCUCCCUUUCUCUCUCUGUUUCUCUUCAGAAGAAACUUCUUCCGCAUCUCUCUUCGACAGAAACACCUCCUGA
rnacentral:lncRNA from 1 species